rnacentral:rRNA from 1 species
UACCCCCAUUAGUACGGAAUAACUUUUAGAAAUAAAAGACUAAUACCGUAUAUUCUCUGUGAGAAAGAUUUAUCGCUGAUGGAUGAGCCGCGUCAGAUUAGGUAGUUGGUGAGGUAAUGGCUCACCAAGCCGACGAUCUGUAGCUGGUCUGAGAGGAUGAUCAGCCACACUGGGACUGAGACACGGCCCAGACUCUUACGGGAGGCAGCAGUGGGGAAUAUUGGACAAUGGGCGAAAGCCUGAUCCAGCAAUACCGAGUGAGUGAUGAAGGCCUUAGGGUUGUAAAGCUCUUUUAGCAAGGAAGAUAAUGACGUUACUUGCAGAAAAAGCCCCGGCUAACUCCGUGC